GGUGUAGCUUGGUUGUAGAGUGCUUGCCUAACAUACAGAAAGCCCUGGGUUCGAUUCCCAGCACC
rnacentral:tRNA from 1 species